rnacentral:tRNA from 1 species
GCCGGGAUAGCUCAGCUGGUAGAGCAGCUGUUUUGUAAACAGCAGGUCGCAGGUUCAAGCCCUGUUCCCGGCU